rnacentral:rRNA from 1 species
CCUGCCCACUGAUAUUAAAUUUAUAAUGGCCGCAGUUACCUUUGACUGUGCUAAGGUAGCAUAAUAAAUUGACUUUUAAUUCGGGGCCUUGAAUGAAUGGAUAAAUGGAUAAUUUCUGUCUCAAUAAAAAUUCUAUAAGUUACUUAAAAGGUGAAAAUUCCUUUAAAUAAAUUAAAUAGACGAGAAGACCCUAGGAGUUUUUAAUUUUGUUGGGGCGACAGUAUAGCAUUAUAACCUAUAUAUAAAUAUUUGUAUAAAACGAAUAAUUUUAAUAAUAAAUAAACUACCCUAGGGAUAACAGCAUAAUUUAAUUUUAAGUUUGUGACCUCGAUGUUGGACUAGGGACUUUUAAAGCUAACAGUGUUAAUUGAUAGUUCUGUUCGA